GACGAACGCUGGCGGCGUGCUUAACACAUGCAAGUCGAACGGUAAGGCCCUUCGGGGUACACGAGUGGCGAACGGGUGAGUAACACGUGGGUGAUCUGCCCUGCACUUCGGGAUAAGCCUGGGAAACUGGGUCUAAUACCGGAUAGGACCCUGGGAUGCAUGUCCUGGGGUGGAAAGCUUUUGCGGUGUGGGAUGGGCCCGCGGCCUAUCAGCUUGUUGGUGGGGUGAUGGCCGACCAAGGCGACGACGGGUAGCCGGCCUGAGAGGGUGACCGGCCAUACUGGGACUGAGAUACGGCCCAGACUCCUACGGGAGGAAGCAGUGGGGAAUAUUGCACAAUGGGCGCAAGCCUGAUGCAGCGACGCCGCGUGAGGGAUGACGGCCUUCGGGUUGUGAACCUCUUUCAGCACCGACGAAGCGCAAGUGACGGUAGGUGCAGAAGAAGGACCGGCCAACUACGUGCCAGCAGCCGCCGUAA
rnacentral:rRNA from 1 species